AUGGGCUCUGCAGAGAUUAUUUACAAUCCUGAAAAUGUCACUUUCAACUUAAUAAUCACUUCUUCAAAGGCAGAGAUUUUCCCUCUUUCAGAAGGCCAGCUCUCUUGAAAGACAGAAGUGGGAGUUUUGAUAAGAUCUAACCUGAAGAUUUAACAUCUGCUUCUAGUUAAAAAAAGUGUUUCCCUACAGAAGUGAUUCAUGUGGUGCUGAUUUGCCAUGAAUAAUUCUGUGUAUAUGGUUGAUGGUGAUUCUGAUGAGGAAAUCUCUACCCAGCGAGCUAUUCAGGAAAGCUUACAAGAUAGGCAUAAAUUUGAAACAAGUGGCAGUGCAACAGAGAUUGAAAGUUUCCAGUAUACUGCAAGUAAAGAACAUGGGCAGAUCAUUGCAGCAAUUCGGACAGGCCAAGAGGAGGCCUUGAAGAAGUUGGUGAGGCACAGUUCUGCUUUUGAAGAAGCAGAUCAGCAAGGCUGGCUUCCUGUGCAUGAAGCUGCAGCACAGCUAAAUAAGAACAUCCUUGAAAUAACUUUAAAAGCCUCCCGUGACAUUACGUGGGAACAGUCCACUCUAAAAGGAGAAACACCUCUCUUGGUGGCAGUAAGAAAUUGUUUUGUGGACAAUGUCCACUUUCUCCUGCUCAAUGGCUGCAAUCCCAAUGUUAAAAAUGAAGAGGGAGAUUCUCCUUUAGUUAUAGCAAUUAAACUUGAUUCCUAUGACAUUGCCUCCUUGCUGCUGCGAUCUGGUGCCAGAGUGAAUUUGCGCUGCGUCCAUGAGAGAACUGCUCUGCAUGAGGCAGCCAGACUGGGCAGGAAGGAUCUGGUACAGCUGCUCCUGGAGUCUGGGGCAGAUCCUGACCCCCGCAGUGGAUAUGGGCUCACACCUCUAGCACUGGCUGCACAGAUGGGACAUACAGAAAUUAUGGAGCUCUUACUGCAAAAAGGUGCAGAUGUUCUUUCACAGGCAAUGGACUGUGCUUCUAUAUUGUUUGAAGCAGCAGGAGGAGGAAAUCCAGACUCUGUGAGUCUUUUACUAGAAUAUGGGGCUGAUGCCAAUGUACCAAAGCACUCGGGUCAUUUGCCAAUCCACAGAGCUGCAUAUAGAGGACACUUUCUAGCUCUGAAAUAUUUAGUUCCAGUGACUGAUUUUUCUGCCAUUAAAGAAAGUGGGAUAAGCCCAGUUCACUCAGCAGCAGCAGGAGCACAUCCUCAGUGCCUUGAGUUUCUCCUGCAGUCGGGUUUUGAUGCCAAUUUUAUGCUGGCUCAGAGAGUUCGCAAAGGCUACGACGACCACCGGAAAUCAGCCCUGUACUUCGCUGUUUCCAACGGGGAUAUCUGCUCAACGCAGCUGCUGCUCAGCGCCGGAGCGCUGACAAACCAAGAUCCCAUCAACUGCCUCCAAAUAGCCUUGAGAAUGGGCAACUACGAGUUAAUGAACCUGCUGCUCCGCCACGGGGCCAACGUCAACUACUUCUGCCGCGUGAACACCACGCAUUUCCCCUCAGCUCUGCAGUACGCCCUCAAGGAUGAGGUGAUGCUGAGGAUGCUGCUGAACUACGGCUACGACGUGCACCGCUGCUUCGACUGCCCGCGGGGCAGCGGCGACCACUCCCAGUACGUGACGGACGGCUGGACCUCCACCGUCAUCAAAGACACCAUGUUCUGUGAAGUGAUAACCUUGUCCUGGCUGAAGCAUGUGUCUGGGAAAGUAGUGCGAGUCAUGUUAGAUUAUGUUGAUCAUGUUAAGAUUUGCUGGAAGCUCGAAGCAGUUCUCAAAGAACAGGAACUCUGGCCAGAUAUCCAUUUCAUUUUAACAAAUCCUCGCUCUCUGAAGCACCUUUGCCGCCUGAAGAUCCGGGCGUGCAUGGGCCGGCUGCGUCUCCGCUGUCCUGUCUUCAUGACCUUCCUUCCACUGCCAAACUGCUUGAAAGAUUACAUCCUGUACAAGGAAUAUGAUCUUUAUGGACAGGAAAACUACACAGGGAUCUACAACCUCAACUGUGCAUAAGUAUUUGUCCUGUACUUUGAAGGGAAUUUAAUGUGGCUAAGACUGUUGUGCUUUUUUCUUUUGGGAUUUCCUCUCCUCUGUAUAUUAAGGAAUGCCAGCGCUCUCCCCUCACCCCCUGAAGAAAAUGGUGAGACCCCCCAAAAUGACUACAAACUGUCCUUCUGUGCUGCUCUGGUUGGAUCUGCUGGAAGCUGCUAUCAACCGGCUCUGCUCCUCCAAGUCCUAAGUUCAGAAGGGGGGUUGGGAAAUCAGAAAAAGAGUAUUACCCUUUAAGCCAUCUGCAAUGGACACAGGAUACCAUAAUUAUGAUUUCUACAUGAUCUAUCAAUACUAUCAGUGGACAGCUUUGGACAAAUCUGCAAAAGAAAGUUUUGAGCCUCCAGAUUCACCAAAAGGAUUUGUGCGUCUAUCAAAAAAUGAAAACAUUAAAGCAGGAGUCAGAUUACAGAACCAUUAUGGACAGUGCAGUAGUCUCAUGCUGUGUCAAAUACCAACAUGUAGUGAGUUCACAAACUUGUCAUCUGGAGGAAUAAUGUAUCAUGAACCAUAAGGAGAAGCAAUUCUAUCAGGAGUGAGACAUAGCUUGCUGUAUUUGAGGGUCCACAUUAUGGGGAGAAUACCAGUUAUUAUUGUUCUAUUGCUGCCAUAGAAAGUUUUGCUCACUUUUUUUUUUUUUUUUUAAUAUUUGAAUUAAGACCAAACCAAAACCUUGGUAAUGUUUGAAAAGGAAUAGUUUCAGGGGAUGAAAUUUCAGAGUACAGCUUCAGGAAGCACAGCCAAAAACCAGGCCCUUUCAGUACUCCAUAAGAGCACCCACUUCUCACCACUGUCAAGGUGCUGAAUUACUUACUCAAGAGAAGGCCCUGGGUUUGUUUCAAAUGCAGCUUUCUCAAAACAUCACUGGGCUUUUACUCCUAGAGAGUCAAGAGAAAUGUGGCUAUUUCUGGCUCUCAGAGACAGUAUUACUAUCAGUUACAGAGAAAAGUGAAAAUACUCUAGGCUUCCAAGUCUGCAUUUUUCAAAAAGAGUAAGGGAAUAAGCACAGGAAAUGGGGACAUUUUAUUUAAAAUUUGUAGAGGAAAUUACCCAUUCUCUCUGGCUGAUUGGUAGCUGAAAAGCUAUUGGCAAGGGUUCAAUAUAGUUCAAAUUAGGUUUUUUAUGGGAUUGAUGAAAGUGUUACCUUGAUAAUUAGUGUGCUAAAAACAAAUUUCAGGACUAUGAGAAAAAAAAUUGUUCAGUUACACAUCCUGACUGCCAGUUUAUUUUAUUAAUUAUCAGAAAUGUUUUAACUAAGAGAUAUCUAGUUUGAAGUAAUAAAAUUUUUCUAGAUUGAAGCCAACAUGGCAUUGCUACAAUGUUUAGAUAAUCUGGACUCAAUCAAGAACCAUCUCAUUAAAGGCUGACCUGUGUAAUUAUAGUAAAAGCAAAUUCUUUCUACCAGCAUCUUCUAUUGCUCAGAUUUUUCUUGUUGUUUAAUAUUAAUUGGAACAGUAAAUGCAGAAUCUCACAGGAUCUCUCAAAAGGCAAAAAUAAAAUUUAAAUAUAUGUCAUCAGUAUCAGAAACCAAGAAAGUACUACUUUUUUUAAUAUCAAACAUUACCUAUCUGUACAAACUCUGCAGUUCUUUAUUGGAGGCCAUGGCUAAUUGAAAACAGUGAGCUCAACUCUAUCAUUUCUGCUAUGAAAAAUAUUAUAACUGAUGACAUCACAGAAUAUUCUGAGUUGGAAGGGACCCCCAAGGAUCACUGAGUCCAACUCUCCAGUGAAUGGCCCACACAGGGAUUGAAUCCACAGCCUUGGUGUUACUGGCACCCUGCUCUAGACCAGGCUACCACAGGAGUUCAGCUAAGUCUUAAACUUUCCACUUCCUGCAAUACAGUUCAAGUCUAUUUCAAAUCAGUGUAUCCUGAAGGAUCUAGCUGGCCACCUGCUUAUCCUGCUAUACCAAGCAACAAUAAAAAGAAAACUGUGGAAAAAAGGAAAAAA